CCACAAUGGGCCGGACCGUGAACAGGAAGGACUUUCCCCUCUACCUGGAGUGUUUUAGGUGAUACGGUGAGCAGCAUAUCCAGGGGCUUCCACCUGUCAGAGCAGCAAGCAUCUCCAUGGGCUCUGUUGGGAAAAAAAGCAUGGGAACGUCACAUUUCGUGUCCGUGGACAAAUAAAUCUCAACACCACCCUCUAGACACCGCGGGAUUCCGGGAAACGAGGAGGCGGACAUGUUGGCGGGCCUGGUCGACCCGAAUUUCCCGGUCUCCGCGGCCAGCUCCUAUGCUCCUAUGAGGAGGU